rnacentral:rRNA from 1 species
UUGGGGUCCGAGUUGUAAUUUGCAGAGGGUGUUUCGGGCACGGUGCCGGUUUAAGUCCUUUGGAACAGGGCGUCAUAGAGGGUGAGAACCCCGUAUGUGACCGGUCGCCAAACCCAUGUGAAACCCCUUCGACGAGUCGAGUUGUUUGGGAAUGCAGCUCAAAAUGGGUGGUAAAUUUCAUCUAAAGCUAAAUAUUGGCCAGAGACCGAUAGCGCACAAGUAGAGUGAUCGAAAGAUGAAAAGCACUUUGGAAAGAGAGUCAAACAGCACGUGAAAUUGUUGAAAGGGAAGCGCUUGCGACCAGACCUGCUCGCGGGUGAUCAGCGGUGCUUUUCGCGCCGUGCACUCAUCCGCGAUCAGGCCAGCAUCGGUUCAGGCGGCCGGAUAAAGACUCGGAGAAUGUAGCUCCCUCCGGGGAGUGUUAUAGCUCCUUGUGCAAUACGGCCAGCCGGGACCGAGGACCGCGCUUCGGCUAGGAUGCUGGCGUAAUGGUCGUAAGCGACCCGUCUUGAAACACGGACCAAGGAGUCUAACAUCUGUGCGAGUGUUUGGGCGUCAAACCCAUGCGCGCAAUGAAAGUGAACGUGAGGUGGGAACCCUUUCGGGGGCGCACCAUCGACCGAUCCAGAUGUCUUCGGAUGGAUUUGAGUAAGAGCACAGCUGUUGGGACCCGAAAGAUGGUGAACUAUGCCUGAAUAGGGUGAAGCCAGAGGAAACUCUGGUGGAGGCUCGCAGCGGUUCUGACGUGCAAAUCGAUCGUCAAAUUUGGGUAUAGGGGCGAAAGACUAAUCGA